GGUGUUCUAUACACUCCUUCCUUGGGACGCGCAUCCCAAGGAGUUUCAUGCCCAAAGGAGUUUGGGUGCAUCUUUCUUACUGAUUUUUAAUAUCUGAUAGCAGUACAUAGCAAGAACAAACUCUAGAGAGGAGGAGAAGAAGAAGAUCGAGGAGAAAGAUCAAGUGUUGAUCAUGAUCCAGGCUUCGUUUAGAUUCAGCAGGCUGAAUUUUGGAGAACCAAAAUUCAGAUUAAAGAGGAUUAUUCCAGGUUGAUCCUAAAUGGAUACUCAU
rnacentral:lncRNA from 1 species